rnacentral:lncRNA from 1 species
AACCGGUGGUAAAAAAAAAGUUAAUUCAUCUUAAAUUCGUCCCAAUCGGUUAAGUAAAUGUUGCAGAAGGUGUUUGAUAUUCGACAAAAUUUUGUUAAAAAAUUUGCUUCUGUUUGGAUCCACGGAGUAAAGCGGUAAGUCGUGACCAUAAAUUAAAAUAUUUAGACUUAAUUUGAUAUUGAGGCCUAUCUAACGCUAUUAGAUAAAAUGGAGUUGAGAAAAAAGCAUAUAGGAAUAUAAUUCUGCGUUAUCCGAUGGUACCGCAGAAAAUAUAUCGUAACCGACUCAUCGCGUAAUCUCUCCGCAAUCGCAAAUGAAGCCUUAAUCCUUAUCGCUGUGUUUGCAUCUUUAC